CAUUUCACUUGUAACUAAAGUGUACUGGAGAAUCCUGUUUUGAAGUUCCAAUGGCAACGCUACAUUUGGAGGGAGAAGAAUACUUUUAGGAGGGCCAAAAUGGAUGUCAUCACUUGUCCACUGGUGAAGAAGAGUAAACAGCAUAUUAUUUAAAUGAAGGACAAUUGUAGAACAAAAGAUGUUCCCAGAUUUGUUGAAUGUUUCAAGCAUCCUGAUUUUAGUUCAUAUUUCCAGCAUUCACGCUUGUCUUGCUAAUUGCACCAUUUUUGAUAAAGUAUCAAGGACUAAGAAAUUUGCAAGGAUUUCUUCUUCCAAGACCCCAACUACAACCUGAUCUCUAGCCAAGAUCUCGAGUCUUUUCAUGUCUCAUAUUUGCCAUUGUCUGCUAAACGGUAUAGGUAAUUAAUAGAUGAAUAUAUGCAUUUCCCUGGCUUUUGU